AGCAGCCGCGGUAAUUCCAGCUCCAAUAGCGUAUAUUAAAGUUGUUGCAGUUAAAAAGCUCGUAGUUGAAUUUCGAGAUCAAAUUGUUGGUCGUGCCUUGGUACGUACUUGACAUUAUUGGUUUCUCCCUUCUGAAGAACCAUGAUGUCAUUAAUUUGGUGUCAUGGGGAAUCAGGACCGUUACUUUGAAAAAAUUAGAGUGUUUAAAGCAGGCUCGCGCUUGAAUACAUUAGCAUGGAAUAAUGAAAUAGGACGUUUAAUUCUAUUUUGUUGGUUUCUAGGAUUGACGUAAUGAUUAAUAGGGAUAGUUGGGGGCAUUAGUAUUCAAUUGUCAGAGGUGAAAUUCUUGGAUUUAUUGAAGACUAACUACUGCGAAAGCAUUUGCCAAGGAUGUUUUCAUUAAUCAAGAACGAAAGUUAGGGGAUCGAAGACGAUCAGAUACCGUCGUAGUCUUAACCAUAAACUAUGCCGACUAGGGAUCGGAUGAUGUUAAUUUUUAAUGACUCAUUCGGCGUCCG
rnacentral:rRNA from 1 species